UAAGACAGAGGGUGCGAACGUUGUUCGGAAUUACUGGGCGUAAAGCGCGUGUAGGCUGUUCGGAAAGUCGGGUGUGAAAGCCCUGGGCUCAACCUAGGAAGUGCACUCGAAACUCCCGAACUGGAGUCCCGGAGAGGAAGGUGGAAUUCUCGGUGUAGAGGUGAAAUUCGUAGAUAUCGAGAGGAACAUCGGUGGCGAAGGCGGCCUUCUGGACGGUGACUGACGCUGAGACGCGAAAGCGUGGGGAGCAAACAGGA
rnacentral:rRNA from 1 species